rnacentral:rRNA from 1 species
AACAGGAUUAGAUACCCUGGUAGUCCACGCCGUAAACGAUGUCGACUUGGAGGCUGUUCCCUUGAGGAGUGGCUUCCGGAGCUAACGCGUUAAGUCGACCGCCUGGGGAGUACGGCCGCAAGGUUAAAACUCAAAUGAAUUGACGGGGGCCCGCACAAGCGGUGGAGCAUGUGGUUUAAUUCGAUGCAACGCGAAGAACCUUACCUACUCUUGACAUCCAGAGAAUUUAGCAGAGAUGCUUUAGUGCCUUCGGGAACUCUGAGACAGGUGCUGCAUGGCUGUCGUCAGCUCGUGUUGUGAAAUGUUGGGUUAAGUCCCGCAACGAGCGCAACCCUUAUCCUUUGUUGCCAGCACGUAAUGGUGGGAACUCAAAGGAGACUGCCGGUGAUAAACCGGAGGAAGGUGGGGAUGACGUCAAGUCAUCAUGGCCCUUACGAGUAGGGCUACACACGUGCUACAAUGGCGCAUACAAAGAGAAGCGACCUCGCGAGAGCAAGCGGACCUCAUAAAGUGCGUCGUAGUCCGGAUUGGAGUCUGCAACUCGACUCCAUGAAGUCGGAAUCGCUAGUAAUCGUAAAUCAGAAUGUUACGGUGAAUACGUUCCCGGGCCUUGUACACACCGCCCGUCACACCAUGGGAGUGGGUUGCAAAAGAAGUGGAUAGCUUAACCUUCGGGAGGGCGUUUACCACUUUGUGAUUCAUGACUGGGGUGAAGUCGUAACAAGGUAACCGUAGGGGAACCUGCGGCUGGAUCACCUCCUU